AAUUUUGGCAGGCCGGGAUUGUGGUGACCUUUUGUUACCUGGUCUUUGCUCCCACUGCUUUGUUCUUCAGGCUUUUAGUUCCUUCUAGGCUGAUUUAGCUCAAAUAGGAUUGAGAGCCAACCCAGCCAGUGGCUAAUGCUCCGUGUCCUCGGGAUGCAGUUGGAAACCAGAAGCGGGCAGCCAGGCCAGCCUGGAGGUCUGAGUUGUGCAGCUCCUGUAGGAUAUACUGGUAUCUGGUGUUGUUUCCCACUGGUCUCAUUGGAGCCUGAUCCCAGCUUUGUUUCUGCCCUGUGGUCGGCCAGGACCCGGUUCUCCAGACUGCUGUGAGUAGUAUGUGAUCACCGAGUUGGGGAUGUCUCAGUUUUGGGCUGCUCUCCUGUCCUUGCUGAGGCUUCUUUAUGUGCAUUGUCUUCUCUAGGGAGGAGGUGAGGAAGAGUGCUGACAUGCUG
rnacentral:lncRNA from 1 species